UACGUAGGGGGCAAGCGUUGUCCGGAUUUAUUGGGCGUAAAGAGCGUGUAGGCGGCCAGACAGGUCAGCUGUGAAAACUCGAGGCUCAACCUCGAGACGUCGGUUGAAACCGUCUGGCUAGAGUCCGGAAGAGGAGAGUGGAAUUCCCGGUGUAGCGGUGAAAUGCGCAGAUAUCGGGAAGAACACCCGUGGCGAAGGCGGCUUACUGGUCCGGUACUGACGCUGAGGUGCGAAAGCGUGGGGAGCAAACAGG
rnacentral:rRNA from 1 species